rnacentral:hammerhead_ribozyme from 1 species
GCACUGCUGAGGAGUCCCAUAAAAAUGGGACGAAACGGCCGUCCAGUGC